rnacentral:tRNA from 1 species
CCGAGAAUAGCUCAGUUGGUAGAGCGGGAGACUGUAGUUUACCAUGAUAUCUCUAGGUCCCUGGUUCAAAUCCGGGUUCUCGGA